GAUGAACGCUGGCGGCGUGCCUAAUACAUGCAAGUCGAGCGAACAGACGAGGAGCUUGCUCCUCUGACGUUAGCGGCGGACGGGUGAGUAACACGUGGAUAACCUACCUAUAAGACUGGGAUAACUUCGGGAAACCGGAGCUAAUACCGGAUAACAUGUUGAACCGCAUGGUUCAACAGUGAAAGACGGUUUUGCUGUCACUUAUAGAUGGAUCCGUGCCGCAUUAGCUAGUUGGUAAGGUAACGGCUUACCAAGGCAACGAUGCGUAGCCGACCUGAGAGGGUGAUCGGCCACACUGGAACUGAGACACGGUCCAGACUCCUACGGGAGGCAGCAGUAGGGAAUCUUCCGCAAUGGGCGAAAGCCUGACGGAGCAACGCCGCGUGAGUGAAGAAGGUCUUCGGAUCGUAAAACUCUGUUAUUAGGGAAGAACAAAUGUGUAAGUAACUAUGCACGUCUUGACGGUACCUAAUCAGAAAGCCACGGCUAACUACGUG
rnacentral:rRNA from 1 species